rnacentral:rRNA from 1 species
GCAAGUCGAACGCAUCCUUCGGGAGAGUGGCAGACGGGUGAGUAACGCGUGGGAAUCUACCCAUCCCUACGGGAUAGCUCCGGGAAACUGGAGAUAAUACCGUAUACGUCCUCCGGGAGAAAGAUUUAUCGGGGAUGGAUGAGCCCGCGUUGGAUUAGCUAGUUGGUGGGGUAAUGGCCUACCAAGGCGACGAUCCAUAGCUGGUCUAAGAGGAUGAUCAGCCACAUUGGGACUGAGACACGGCCCAAACUCCUACGGGAGGCAGCAGUGGGGAAUAUUGGACAAUGGGCGCAAGCCUGAUCCAGCCAUGCCGCGUGAGUGAUGAAGGCCCUAGGGUUGUAAAGCUCUUUCAGUGGGGACGAUAAUGACGGUACCCACAGAAGAAGCCCCGGCUAACUUCGUGCCAGCAGCCGCGGUAAUACGAAGGGGGCUAGCGUUGUUCGGAAUUACUGGGCGUAAAGCGCACGUAGGCGGACAUUUAAGUCAGGGGUGAAAUCCCGGGGCUCAACCCCGGAACUGCCUCUGAUACUGGGUGUCUUGAGUGUGGUAGAGGUGAGUGGAAUUGCGAGUGUAGAGGUGA